rnacentral:lncRNA from 1 species
CUUUUGUUUCCUUGUAGAUCUUUUGCUUGGAAAACAGAAAAAAAAUAUAAUAAUAAUAAAAAAAAUUCAGUUUACUACAUUUUGUGAAGUCCAAGCUGAAAAGAAAGAACACAGUGGAGAUUACAUGACUUUCCGGAUGAGGAGAGUGAUACAGAUUGGCAUAUUCUGCAGAGAAAUUACCCACCAGGCUGCACACAAGGCAGAAGCCUUUAUUUGAAUGGGUCUCUUCAGAGAUGUGUGAUGCAAUCUGAGUUUCCUAUCAGAAGAGAAAUUCAAAGCUGCUAUAAUUAUCCCAGCAUUACUAAGAGCCAUGUUUCCUGUGGAUUCAACACUGUAAAGUUCCUUACCUGAAAUGACCUAACUGCUUCUUGCUAGUUUCUUGAUGCAGAUUUGAUAUGGCAGAUUUAUGUUUUAAACUCCUAAUCUUCAUCAGAUCAUUCUGCUACUAUAGCAAUUUUUCUGCUAUAAGAGCUAUUAAACCAGAAUAAAUAUUUAAUUGCAAACA